rnacentral:lncRNA from 10 species
GAUUUGCACAGUCGGCUGGGCGGUGCAAUGGCGUAGAGACAGGGUUUCACCACAUUGGCCAGGAUGGACUCAAUUUCCUGACCUCGUGAUCUGCCCGCCUCGGCCUCCCAAAGUGCUGGGAUUACAGGCGUGAGCCAUGGCGCCUGGCCUGUUGCAAUUUUUAAAAGGAUGAUCAAGCAAGGCUUUGCCAAAAAGGUGGCAAAAACGAGGAAAGAAAAGGAACAGCCAAAGUGGACUUUUUGAAGAAGAUUGAGAAAGAAAUCCAACAGAAAUGGGAUACUGAGAGAGUGUUUGAGGUCAAUGCAUCUAAUUUAGAGAAACAGACCAGCAAGGGCAAGUAUUUUGUAACCUUCCCAUAUCCAUAUAUGAAUGGACGCCUUCAUUUGGGACACACGUUUUCUUUAUCCAAAUGUGAGUUUGCUGUAGGGUACCAGCGAUUGAAAGGAAAAUGUUGUCUGUUUCCCUUUGGCCUGCACUGUACUGGAAUGCCUAUUAAGGCAUGUGCUGAUAAGUUGAAAAGAGAAAUAGAGCUGU